GCCACCUUCAGCUGCAAGUGGAAAUCCCAACCCACAGGACUUGAGGCAAAAUCAUAACGUAUCCGUUUAUGUACCGGAAAAGUCUUAGAGCUCCAUCUCAGCCAGCCCCUUCCCCUGGGGACCCAGUGACCUCAGCAAGCCCCAGAAACUGCAGACAGGAAUCAGAAAAUCCCAACAGCUCCAGGAAAAUAAGACAACAACCCGGCGUCUCCUUGUCAUUGGACAGACUGCUCAGUGGAGGAGCGUCUGCCCACACGAGGGAGGCCCAGGUUCCAGGCCCGGAGAAUCCAAAAGGACAUAGGAAAAUGAAAAGAUAAGCCACGGGACAGGGCAAAACAUUUGCCCAUCCUGAGUCUGAAAGGGGAACCUGAAUCCAGAAUAUACUGAAAACAAAAACAAAGGAAUCUUGCAAACCAGGCAUGGCACACUGUGGUCCCAGCGACCUGGGAGGCUGAGGCGGAAGGAUCGCAAGUUUGAGGCCAGCCUCCGCAACGUAGAGAG